rnacentral:rRNA from 1 species
GGCUUACGGGUAGUUGGUCUGAGAGGAUGAUCAGCAACACUGGGACUGAGACACUGCCCAGACUCCUACGGGAGGCUGCAGUCGAGAAUCAUUGUCAAUGCACGAAAGUGUGAACAUGGGAGCCGCUUGAGGAGACGGCCUUCGGGUUGUCAAUUCCGUCAGCAGGGAGUUAGGAUGGGUUCUCUAAUACAGAUUUCAUUGAUAGUACCUGCAGAGAAGUCACGGCUUGCUCUGUGCAGCAGCGCGGUAAUACAGAGGUGGCGAACGUUGUUCGGAUUUACUGGGCGUAAAGGGUCCGCAGGCGGUCUUGUGUGUCGGGUGUGAAAGCUCACGGCUCAACCGUGGAAUUGCAUUCGAAACUGCAGGACUAGAGUACUGGAGGGGAGAAGGGAACACUUGGUGUAGCGGUGAAAUGCGUAGAUAUCAAGUGGAACACCGGAGGCGAAGGCGCUUCUCUGGACAGAUACUGACGCUCAUGGACGAAAGUUAGGGUCGCGAAAGGGAUUAGAUACCCCUGUAGUCCUAACUGUAAACGGUGUGCGCUAGGCGUGGGUGGCUUUACCCCCAUCCGUGCCUGAGCUAACGCAUUAAGCGCACCGCCUGGGGAGUACGGUCGCAAGAUUAAAACUCAAAGGAAUUGACGGGGACCCGCACAAGCGGUGGAGCAUGUGGCUUAAUUCGAUGCAACGCGAAGAACCUUACCUGGGCUUGACAUAUAGCUGCAUCCGACCCGAAAGGGACGGAGCCUUCGAGGGUGCUAUACAGGUGCUGCAUGGCUGUCGUCAGCUCGUGCCGUGAGGUGUUGGGUUAAGUCCCGCAACGAGCGCAACCCCUGUGUUUAGUUGCCAGCACGUAAUGGUGGGGACUCUAAACAGACUGCCUGUGAAAGCAGGAGGAAUGUGGGAUGACGUCAAGUCAGUAUGGUCCUUAUGUCCAGGGCUGCACACGUGCUACAAUGGGGUGUGGUUUGGGAGGUUAAGCCGCGAGGUGGAGCAAAUCCUCAAAACAUCCCCCAGUUCGGAUUGUAGUCUGAAACUCGACUACAUGAAGUUGGAAUCGCUAGUAAAGGCGUAUCAGCUACGACGCCUUGAAUACGUUCCCGGGUCUUGCACUCACCGCCCGUC